GGUCGCUUAGCUCAGUUGGUUAGAGCGUUCGGUUUACAUCCGAAAGGUCGGGGGUUCGAUCCCCUCAGCGACCA
rnacentral:tRNA from 1 species